AUCCCCCUCCUCCCCCUGCUGCUGCUGGCCAGGCCGCUGCUGAGCUUGCUCUACAUGGAAACCCUCCGCCGUGCUGCCACAGCUUUCGGGUCACCAUGCCGACUAUGUAGCCCUCCCCUUUCUGCCUCCCGCAGAAUGUCAUGUAUACUGAAUGGUGGCAGAAUCACAGGGAAAGCGAGUCCGGGCCAGGGUGACAUCUUCUCCCGUGGUUGGCUGGCACCCGGUGACGUAACGGGCAGCGUGUUCACUUUGUUGUGUAGGUCAUAGCACUGUGGGUAUGAUACAGACUGCAGGGAGGCGAGGGAUCCCUAUGAUACAUUCCACAGCAGCCUAUUUCCACUAGUGUACGACAGCUCUAUACUUUACAUAGUGUCUUCAUUCAGAUUCUGCCUCCUAUCAUUUGCUCUACUUUGUCCAUAAGAAGUUCUAUACAGUGUGUGGGUAAAAUGCCCAAUUGCGGCUCAAGUUGGCCCUGCGGGGUAUCCGUGACUAAAAAGUAGAGGAGUUAGGACUCGGAGGUGAUUUGCUGAUAGCCACUCCCACGCUGCAUCCUCCUGAGGAGAGUUAUUAGAAAGGAACAGUAACGCCAAAAAGUGUUUUAAAGUAAUGGAAAUUUCAUGUAGUGUUGCCCUCUACUGGUAAAACUGAUCUGUUUGCUUCAGAAACACUACUAUCGUUCAUAUAAACAAGCUGCUGUAUAGCAAUGGCGGAAAUUGAAAAAAGGCUAUAUGGCACAGGUAAAAUAGUGGAAAACAGAUAAUACCACUAUGUUCUACAGAGCUUAUCUGCGAUCUGCUAUGUAACCUGAGCCCUUUUCUCCUUUGAAUGGCUGCCCCCAUGGCUACACAUCAGCUUAUUUAUAUAAGCAUUUAUAUAAGCAGCACUGCCUUAUAUUUGUAUUACUUUAAAACAAAUACAUUUUUUGAUGUUACCGGUCCUUUAAGGAGGCCUGAGUAAGUUAGGUAGUCGCAUAGCAGAGGCGUGGGAUAGAUGGCAGGCUUUGGCAGCAGCAGCACCUACUAACACCCCAGGCACCCAGCAAAUCAGUAAGAAUGACUGGGAACAAAGAGGUGAAGUGUACACUGCUGCCCUCUUCCACCCAAACCGGGAAUCGGCUGCCCACUGCCUGCUGAGGGGCAGGUACUGGAGGAGCCACCGCUUUGGCAAUCUGUACUGGGAGCGCAAAACUAUCAUGGUGUUCGACUGUGUAAGAAAUGGUUAUAUAUAAGUCUAUAUAUACCUGCUGGGGAGAUACAGAGAGAACUGAGAGGGCCACAUCGACUGUAUCCACAAAUUUUUCCCACAGUGUCACCGAGCGCCAGAUUUAGAAAAACCUGGGAGCAAAAAAGCAGGAAACUCCUCUUAAUUACUGUAUGAAUGGUGACGGACUUUACACAACUGUAAAUCUCUUCUCCAGGUUCCUUCUGUCUGUCACAAUAAUACAUAAUUAUUGAUAGUUCUUAUGUAAAAGUUCAGUUGCUUGAAAAUUAGAGUUGCGAGUAUGUGCGAUUCUUUUCCUUCCUGCAUCAAAUGAGUGGGUUUGACAGACAAUGUCAGAAAGUGCAGUGCUGCCCAGUGACACAGUGACAGUUGGGAUUCAUGACUGCCGCUUACUCGGUUGCUGUUGCUAGGAGACUGAGUAGCUUUGUCUCUUGCAGAAUUUCCUCUGUUAUACCUGUAAGGAAUAUGUGGAAGAUCUUGCCAAAAUUCCCUCAAGUGCCCUGGAGGAUGCAAAUGUGAGUUUAAUUGCUAUUGGACAGUCAUCGUACAUACAUAUUGAGGUGAUCCAGCUCAGCAAGGUGGUUCACUUAUUGUUGGUCCAGGUAACAGAGUCCGCUUUUUGCAGCGUGAUAUGAACAGGUUGAAAAGGGACAGUCAUAUUUAUGAAGUUCAAAUAACAAUUAUCCAGGCCUUUUUUCCAUAUUAAUAAAAGUUGGCUCUUUUGAUAAAGCCAUUUUGUGGGUAUUUGUUUUAUAAACCAAUUAGUUUUAAAAUAAAACAUUUAUAUUCCGUCAUAAUUGAGGAGGAGGGAUCCUGGCUAUUUAUUUCUUAGUGGACUGUUUUACCAGUUAAGGAGGUUUUUGAUACCGGUUUAAUUGUUGUGUGAAGUAGUCAAGAUUUUUCUUGACAGUCCUGGACUACAGCCCCUUGCCCACUCCUUAAACACCUUUUAUACUUUUGGCCAUGAUUUUCCCAUACCCACUUAAUU